ACGCGAAGAACCUUACCUGGACUCGAAAUCUAGUUGACCGCCUCAGAGAUGAGGUUUUCCCGCAAGGGACGGCUGGAUAGGUGCUGCAUGGCUGUCGUCAGCUCGUGUCGUGAGAUGUUGGGUUAAGUCCCGCAACGAGCGCAACCCUCAUCCUUAGUUGCUCGCCCGCAAGGGAAGCACCCUAAGGGAACCGCCUCGGAUAACGGGGAGGAAGGUGGGGAUGACGUCAAGUCCUCAUGGCCUUUAUGCCCAGGGCUACACACGUGCUACAAUGGCCGGUACAAACCGUCGCGAACCCGCGAGGGGGAGCCAAUCGGAAAAAACCGGUCUCAGUUCGGAUUGCAGGCUGCAACUCGCCUGCAUGAAGCUGGAAUCGCUAGUAAUCACGUAUCAGAACGACGUGGUGAAUACGUUCCCGGGCCUUGUA
rnacentral:rRNA from 1 species